rnacentral:rRNA from 1 species
UACGGGGGGGGCAAGCGUUGUUCGGAAUUACUGGGCGUAAAGGGCUCGUAGGUGGCCAACUAAGUCAGACGUGAAAUCCCUCAGCUUAACUGGGGAACUGCGUCUGAUACUGGAUGGCUUGAGUUUGGGAGAGGGAUGCGGAAUUCCAGGUGUAGCGGUGAAAUGCGCAGAUAUCAGGAGGAACACCGGUGGCGAAGGCGGCUCUCUGGGCCUUACCUGACGCUGAGGCGCGAAAGCUGGGGGAGCGAACAGG